GCUCCAGUGGCGCAAUCGGUCAGCGCGCGGUACUUAUAAUGCCGAGGUUGUGAGUUCAAGCCUCACCUGGAGCA